UACGCACAGGGCUUUUUUCAA
rnacentral:piRNA from 1 species